rnacentral:tRNA from 1 species
AGCCCUGUGGUGUAGAGGUCAAGCACGCGAGGCUCUGGACCUCGAGACCCCAGUUCGAAUCUGGGCGGGGCUA